rnacentral:lncRNA from 1 species
UACUGCCCCCUACUGCCCCUUACUGCCCCCUACUGCCCCAUACUGCCCCAUACUGCCCCCUACUGCCCCGUACUGCCCUCUACUGCCCCAUACUGCCCCAUACUGCCCCUUACUGCCCCUACUGCCCCUUACUGCCCCCUACUGCCCCGUACGGCCCUGUCCUGCCCUGUAGACACUGGAUGUCUGUAAUGAUGGAAGUCAAAUACCAGUAGGUCUGACUGGGUCGAUGGUGAUAUCUAUACCAGUACAUCUGACUGGGUCGAUGGUGAUAUCUAUACCAGUACAUCUGACUGGGUCGACGGUGAUAUCUAUACCAGUACAUCUGACUGGGUCGAUGGUGAUAUCUAUACCAGUACAUCUGACUGGGUCGACGGUGAUAUCUAUACCAGUACAUCUGACUGGGUCGAUGGUGAUAUCUAUACCAGUACAUCUGACUGGGUCGACGGUGAUAUCUAUACCAGUACAUCUGACUGGGUCGAUGGGUGAUAUCUAUACCAGUACAUCUGACUGGGUCGAUGGUGAUAUCUAUACCAGUACAUCUGACUGGGUCGAUGGGUGAUAUCUAUACCAGUACAUCUGACUGGGUCGACGGUGAUAUCUAUACCAGUACAUCUGACUGGGUCGAUGGUGAUAUCUAUACCAGUACAUCUGACUGGGUCGACGGUGAUAUCUAUACCAGUACAUCUGACUGGGUCGACGGUGAUAUCUAUACCAGUACAUCUGACUGGGUCGAUGGUGAUAUCUAUACCAGUACAUCUGACUGGGUCGAUGGUGAUAUCUAUACCAGUACAUCUGACUGGGUCGACGGUGAUAUCUAUACCAGUACAUCUGACUGGGUCGAUGGUGAUAUCUAUACCAGUACAUCUGACUGGGUCGACGGUGAUAUCUAUACCAGUACAUCUGACUGGGUCGAUGGGUGAUAUCUAUACCAGUACAUCUGACUGGGUCGAUGGGUGAUAUCUAUACCAGUACAUCUGACUGGGUCGAUGGUGAUAUCUAUACCAGUACAUCUGACUGGGUCAAUGGUGAUAUCUAUACCAGUACAUCUGACUGGGUCGACGGUGAUAUCUAUACCAGUACAUCUGACUGGGUCGAUGGUGAUAUCUAUACCAGUACAUCUGACUGGGUCGACGGUGAUAUCUAUACCAGUACAUCUGACUGGGUCGAUGGGUGAUAUCUAUACCAGUACAUCUGACUGGGUCGAUGGGUGAUAUCUAUACCAGUACAUCUGACUGGGUCGACGGUGAUAUCUAUACCAGUACAUCUGACUGGGUCGAUGGUGAUAUCUAUACCAGUACAUCUGACUGGGUCGACGGUGAUAUCUAUACCAGUACAUCUGAUUGGGUCGAUGGUGAUAUCUAUACCAGUACAUCUGAUUGGGUCGAUGGUGAUAUCUAUACCAGUACAUCUGACUGGGUCGACGGUGAUAUCUAUACCAGUACAUCUGACUGGGUCGAUGGUGAUGAGUUCCCUGUAUAAUAUGGUGAUAUCUAUACCACUGUAUAAUAUGGUGUACUGGGUUGAUGGUGUACUGGGUUGAUGGUGUACUGGGUUGAUGGUGUACUGGGUUGAUGGUGUACUGGGUUGAUGGUGUACUGGGUUGAUGGUGUACUGGGUUGAUGGUGUACUGGGUUGAUGUUGUACUGCAGUCCAGGGAGACAGUAGGGUUUAUCACAAUGCUGCAUCGAAUAGGGCAUUACUGGUUGUUUUAACUGGGCCUGACACGGGGUGCAUAGUUAACACGGGGUGACAUGGGGUGACAUAGUUAACACGGGGUGACACGGGGUGACAUAGUUAACACGGGGUGACAUGGGGUGCCAUAGUUAACACAGGGUGACAUAGUUAACACGGGUUAACACGGGGUGACAUAGUUAACACGGGGUAACACGGGGUGACAUAGUUAACACGGGGUGAGUGUUUCUUAUUGUUCAACUCAAGGUAGUCCCCUUCCUGUUGUCUUCCAUUGGAACACGACCCCAGGGGUCACAGCUGCUGUUGGAAAUGAAACGUGAUGCGGACACUGAGGUAGAUGCCUUCAAUCAAUUAACAGAGAUACAGCAUUCUGAUUAAAAAACUAAAAAACAAUCAAUCAUUUAAAAUGAUACAAAUUAAAAAAUAAAAUUAAUAAUUUAAAUGUUUUAAAAAAUCAAACAAUCAUUAAAAUGAU